rnacentral:rRNA from 1 species
GGCGGCGUGCCUAACACAUGCAAGUCGAACGAAGAGGCCCCUUCGGGGGUACUUCAGUGGCGGACGGGUGAGUAACACGUAGGUGACCUGCCCCGAGGCAGGGGAUAACGGCUCGAAAGGGCCGCUAAUACCCAAAAGGAUCGCGAGUCGCAUCGCGAUCAGAGUUACGGCGUCUCGGGAGGGGCCUGCGGCCCAUCAGCUAGUUGGCAGGGUAAUGGCCUACCAAGGCGACGACGGGUAGGGGACCUGAGAGGGUGAUCCCCCACAUUGGCACUGACACACGGGCCAAACUCCUACGGGAGGCAGCAGUGAGGAAUAUUGCGCAAUGAGCGAAAGCUAGACGCAGCAACGCCGCGUGGACGAUGAAGGCCUUCGGGUCGUAAAGUCCUUUUCAGAGGGACGAGUGAGGACGGUACCUCUGGAAUAAGUCACGGCUAACUACGUGCCAGCAGCCGCGGUAAAACGUAGGUGGCGAGCGUUAUCCGGAUUCACUGGGCGUAAAGCGCCUGCAGGCGGUCUUGUAAGUGGGAUGUGAAAUCUCCUGGCUUAACUGGGAGGGGUCAUUCCAUACUGCGGGACUGGAGGGCAGAAGAGGGAAGCGGAAUUCCCGGUGUAGUGGUGAAAUGCGUAGAUAUCG